rnacentral:rRNA from 1 species
AGCUCCAAUAGCGUAUAUUAAAGUUGUUGCAGUUAAAAAGCUCGUAGUUGGAUUUGUGGUUGGCUGGAUGGGUUCUACACUAUGUGUGGGUACUUUGUCUGGCCGUCCAUCCUUGGGUGGAUGUUGUGUGGCAUUAGGUUGUCGUGCAUCGGAUGCCCAUCUUUUACUGUGAAAAAAUUAGAGUGUUCAAAGCAGGCUGACGCCGUUGAAUAUAUUAGCAUGGAAUAAUGAUAUAGGACCUGGGUACUAUUUUGUUGGUUUGCGCAUCUAGGUAAUGAUUAAGAGGGACAGUUGGGGGUAUUCGUAUUCCAUUGUCAGAGGUGAAAUUCUUGGAUUUUUGGAAGACGAACUACUGCGAAAGCAUUUACCAAGGAUGUUUUCAUUAAUCAAGAACGAAAGU